AAGACUAUACUUUCAGGGAUUGUUUUUAUAGUCUGUUACUAGGGAAAGUUUCUCUGAACGUGCAGAGACCUGUGAAAACCUCGGUGGGGGGGACUCAGCUUUCUCUCCCGGGCGUGAGACCGGCUCUUGCUGCUGGGUCAUUGCCACUACCGUUUGCCAUCGAUGGUCCUUCUUCUCUUCCUUUGGGGAGAGUAAGGACAGAACGCAGUCUGA